UACAGAGGGGGCAAGCGUUGUUCGGAAUUACUGGGCGUAAAGGGCGCGUAGGCGGCCCGCUAAGUCGAACGUGAAAUCCCCGAGCUCAACUCGGGAACUGCGUCCGAUACUGGCGGGCUUGAAUCCGGGAGAGGGUAGUGGAGUUCCCGGUGUAGCGGUGAAAUGCGUAGAUAUCGGGAGGAACAUCAGUGGCGAAGGCGGCUACCUGGCCCAAUACUGACACUCAGGUGCGACGAGCCGGUGGGGAGCAAACAGG
rnacentral:rRNA from 1 species